rnacentral:lncRNA from 1 species
GGAGAGCAGAAGAAUCUGGAAAAUCCAUGUGCGCCUGCUUACCUUGCUGCAGCUUGCAUGCAGACUAUGACUCCUCCCACCUCCGCGAUGUGUGUGAAGAGAUGUUUCUCCAUAUCCCCUGCAGGAAUGCUCUGAACAUUGCCUUACUCCUGAUCUAGUCUUGCCUGAGGGGCUUGGCUGGGAAAGAAAUUGAACCUUUGGACGUUUUUCUGUCUUGCAUUUCCUAGAUUCAGUGACUGACAAAUCAAUUUCAAAUCUGCCUCGAUGAUCAGAAGUGCAAAUCUUAUAAAACCUCGAGUUUUGGAUCCAGACUCUGACACUAUUCAAAUCCUCAGCUAACAGCAGGGUGCUCAGAGAAUUCAGCCAGCAGCAUGCUCCAGUUUAGAAUUUCCUGCAAGUUCAUGGCUGAGUUUCGUGAAGACCGCUCUGCCACUGACAUCUUCUCCUGGCAAUGUGACAGAAAAUAAAUUGAAUAAUAUUAUGGUCAGGUGUUACAGGCUCCAUAAUGCCAUACAUAUUGUAGGCACAUUGUGUUCUAGCUUUGGAAAAUGCUUCACAGAAAAUGGUUGUAAUAGGUGGUUAACAUCGCUCAGUACUCAGAGCAGGGCCUGAGGCCUCUGCAACUGAUUCCUUUGAAAAAGUUGGCCUACAAGGCAUCAGACCUCUUGCUGUAGGUCUAGGCUCACAACACCCAGCCAUUUCAAGUCUCCCUUUCUGCAGUCUGCUUGGCAAAAUGGGAGGAGUUUAUCCCAUGUGAACUGAAGGAAUUUUGGCAGUCUCAUCUUCUGGCGACUGGUAUGGCUAUGAGGGCUGCCCCAGCAGUUCCUGUCAAGCUGCCCUGGCUCAGUGGAGGUGCAUGAGGGUACGCAGCAUCAGCAGCUGUGACAUGGCUCUGGUUAUGCUCGCUGGGUACUGGGAACUACUGCCACGAGAGCAACAAGUUCAGCUGAACAAACUUUGCAUUGGAGACCAGAAGUCUACUGAUGCACUGUUCCUUUUAGCCAGAGGAAAAGGAUGCUGCCCAAGAAGAGCUGGAAAGAAUCAGUGCAGCCGCGCUUCAAUAAUCAUCCAGUUCCAAGGACUGAUAGAGUAA